rnacentral:rRNA from 1 species
CUGGCGCUCUUCGGCGUCCGCGUUGUAAUCUCGAGACGUGUUUUCCGUGCGGCUCCAUGGACAAGUCCCUUGGAACGGGGCAUCGUAGAGGGUGAAAAUCCCGUACUUGCCAUGGAAGUACCGUGCUUUGUGAUACACGUUCCAAGAGUCGAGUAGUUUGGGAUUGCUGCUCAAAGUGGGUGGUAGACUCCAUCUAAAGCUAAAUAUCGGGGAGAGACCGAUAGCGAACAAGUACCGUGAGGGAAAGAUGAAAAGCACUUUGGAAAGAGAGUUAAAAGUACGUGAAAUUGUCGAAAGGGAAGCACUUGAAGUCAGCCAUGCUGCUUGAGACUCAGCCUGGCUUUUGCUUGGUGUAUUUUUCGGUAGCAAGCCAGCAUUGGUUUGUGUCGUCGGAGAAGGGUCCGGGGAAGGUGGCAUCCUCGGAUGUGUUAUAGCCCUGGGCUGGAUACGACGAGGCAGACCAAGGAACGCAGUGUGCCCUCUUGGCGGGUC